rnacentral:rRNA from 1 species
UACGAAGGGGGCUAGCGUUGUUCGGAAUCACUGGGCGUAAAGCGCACGUAGGCGGAUUGUUAAGUCGGGGGUGAAAUCCUGAGGCUCAACCUCAGAACUGCCUUCGAUACUGGCGAUCUUGAGUCCGGAAGAGGUGAGUGGAACUGCGAGUGUAGAGGUGAAAUUCGUAGAUAUUCGCAAGAACACCAGUGGCGAAGGCGGCUCACUGGUCCGGUACUGACGCUGAGGUGCGAAAGCGUGGGGAGCAAACAGG